rnacentral:lncRNA from 1 species
CCUGGUCCACACCUGCGGAUUACCUGGUUUGGGGGGACCGUUGCUGUUCCUGUCCUUGUCCACCUGGUCAUACUUCUGACCUAGUCUAAAAUCGAAUAUACUCUGGAUUUAGCCAAGAGAAAAUUAUUUAUUAUUCCAAUUGGACUCUUAAUAUCUCAACCGGCACAGCCAGAAGAGGACUGGUCACCCCUCUGAGCCUGGGUCCUCUCUAGGUUUCUUCCUAAAAUUCGACCUUCUUAGGGAGUUUUUCCUAGCCACUGAAAUUCAACACUGCUGUUGUUUGCUCCUUGGGGUUUAAGGCCGGGUGUCUCUGUAAAGCACUUUGUGACAACUGCUGUUGUAAAAAGCGCUUUAUAAAUACAUUUUGAUUGAUUGAUUGAUUGAAAAUAUAAUAAUGUAUGACAAUUUCAAAUUAAUCUUCUAGAAAAGAGUAAUAAUAAUUUUAAAAAAUAUAAUAAUACAAAUGGCACGAUGUAAUAUUGCGUUCAUACUCGAAGCCAGAUGGCGCCCUCUCUUGCAGUAGCCUGUACGCAAUGUCCCAACUCGUUCAUAGAGGUAGACUCUCCCGCAAAUAUCCUCGACCUCGUGUAGAAAUUCUCUGGCUAAAACGCUAAAACCAUGACUAAAACAUGCAGCAGUCGUGACCAUGAUCGUGAAGAUAUUAUCUUGUUCUGCAAACCAUCUCGGAGGAGGACUACUAGGCCGGACUUUAAAGGAGAAAAUUGAACCCAUGAUGCAGAAUCCUGAUAAAAACAUCGACAUGAUGAGAGACGUUGUCCUCCGUUGUUUGAAUUGUUAUCUGGGUGAAAAAGCGGAUGACCUAAUCCAAGAGUACAAUGUAAGUGACUACAAUUAUUCUAUAUAUUUAUGGUGUUUUGAGAAAGGUAUUUGUACAUUGUUUUU